GCACCCAUCGUCUAAAUGGUCAGGAUGCAAGACUUUCAAUCUUGUGAUACGGGUUCGAGUCCCGUUGGGUGUACCA
rnacentral:tRNA from 1 species